AAUGCGAUAAGUAAUGUGAAUUGCAGAAUUCAGUGAAUCAUCGAAUCUUUGAACGCACAUUGCGCCCGCCAGUAUUCUGGCGGGCAUGCCUGUUCGAGCGUCAUUUCAACCAUCAAGCCCCCGGGCUUGUGUUGGGGACCUGCGGCUGCCGCAGGCCCCGAAAACCAGUGGCGGGCUCGCUGUCACACCGGGCGUAGUAGAUUUUUCGUCUCGCCCAGGGCGUGCUGCGGGUUCCGGCCGUUAAAAAGCCUCUCUUUUUAACCCAAGGUUGACCUCGGAUCAGGUAGGAAGACCCGCUGAACUUAAGC
rnacentral:misc_RNA from 1 species